AAGAACGAACGCUGGCGGCAGGCUUAACACAUGCAAGUCGAACGCACUCUUCGGAGUGAGUGGCAGACGGGGUGAGUAACGCGUGGGAACGUACCUUUCGGUUCGGAAUAACCCAGGGAAACUUGGGCUAAGACCGGAUACGCCGGAAACGGGAAGAUUUAUCGCCGAAAGAUCGGCCCGCGUCGGAUUAGCUAGUUGGUAGGGGUAAUGGCCCACCAAGGCGACGAUCCGUAGCUGGUCUGAGAGGAUGAAUCGACGCCACACUGGGACUGAAGACACGGCCCAGACUCCGUACGGGAGCAGCAGGUGGGGAAUAGUAGGACAAGU
rnacentral:rRNA from 1 species